rnacentral:misc_RNA from 1 species
CUGGUGGCAGGGUUUCUGGGAAUACAAGUCAUUAUGAUAAGAAAAGAUUUCUGAAAGAAAGAGACAAUAGCUCGGAAGCUAUAUGUAGGGGAAAGAAGGAAGAUAUACAAACGACGGGAUCUCAAGAACUUGAGUUCGUAUCAAAAGCAGCUUUUCGAUUUAGUUCUGACACAUUGCAUCCAAAGAGGCGAAGAAUGAGUCACAAUUCACACAUAUUUAAUCUGGAGUCAGAUCAAGAAG